CGACUCGCCAGAUAGCUGGGUCUCAACACAUCCCAGCCCACAAACUUUCUAUCCAUUGCUUAAGCCGGACAGCACCGUCCGAAAAUCGGGCCUUCCUUAACGUAUGCAAUGGAAUUAGCUUUCCCCUUUAUAAGGCUCCUGAACAGCUCCUUCUCCAUAUGGUGGAGCUGAAGAAGAUGCUUGCUUACAUGCGUGCCCAACUGGGCUCCAAACAAAGAGCUUUGGGAAACCUGCAGCACCAGUUGGAUAGUGCCCCAGAGCCUG